rnacentral:rRNA from 1 species
AGUGAACGCUGGCGGUAGGCCUAACACAUGCAAGUCGAACGGCAGCACAGUAAGAGCUUGCUCUUACGGGUGGCGAGUGGCGGACGGGUGAGGAAUACAUCGGAAUCUACUUUUUCGUGGGGGAUAACGUAGGGAAACUUACGCUAAUACCGCAUACGACCUACGGGUGAAAGCAGGGGAUCUUCGGACCUUGCGCGAUUGAAUGAGCCGAUGUCGGAUUAGCUAGUUGGCGGGGUAAAGGCCCACCAAGGCGACGAUCCGUAGCUGGUCUGAGAGGAUGAUCAGCCAAACUGGAACUGAGACACGGUCCAGACUCCUACGGGAGGCAGCAGUGGGGAAUAUUGGACAAUGGGCGAAAGCCUGAUCCAGCAACACCGCGUGGGUGAAGAAGGCCUUCGGGUUGUAAAGCCCUUUUGUUGGGAAAGAAAAGCAGCAGGUUAAUACCCCGCUGUUCUGACGGUACCCAAAGAAUAAGCACCGGCUAACUUCGUG